rnacentral:rRNA from 1 species
CACUCCUGCGGGAGGCAGCAGUGAGGAAUAUUGGACAAUGGGUGGAAGCCUGAUCCAGCCAUCCCGCGUGCAGGAAGACGGCCCUAUGGGUUGUAAACUGCUUUUAUCUGGGGAUAAACCUACUUACGUGUAAGUAGCUGAAGGUACCAGAAGAAUAAGCACCGGCUAACUCCGUGCCAGCAGCCGCGGUAAUACGGAGGGUGCAAGCGUUAUCCGGAUUUAUUGGGUUUAAAGGGUCCGUAGGCGGACUGAUAAGUCAGUGGUGAAAUCCGACAGCUUAACUGUCGAACUGCCAUUGAUACUGUUAGUCUUGAGUAAGGUUGAAGUGGCUGGAAUAAGUAGUGUAGCGGUGAAAUGCAUAGAUAUUACUUAGAACACCAAUUGCGAAGGCAGGUCACUAAGUCUUAACUGACGCUGAUGGACGAAAGCGUGGGGAGCGAACAGGAUUAGAAACCCUAGUAGUCCC